rnacentral:rRNA from 1 species
UACGGAGGGUGCAAGCGUUAUCCGGAUUCACUGGGCUUAAAGGGUGCGUAGGAGGGCAGGUAAGUCAGAGGUGAAAUCUCCGAGCUUAACUUGGAAACUGCCGUUGAUACUAUCUGUCUUGAAUAUUGUGGAGGUGAGCGGAAUAUGUCAUGUAGCGGUGAAAUGCUUAGAUAUGACAUAGAACACCAAUUGCGAAGGCAGCUCGCUACACAUAUAUUGACUCUGAGGCACGAAAGCGUGGGGAUCAAACAGG